CUCGAACAGGUAAUUGGCGACAUCGGAGAAAAGGUAAGUACCCGAAACUCUCUUAAGAACACAUUAGGACACAUUUCUUAAGAAACACGUUCUCAUUGCAUCAUUUCGUUGCAAAUUACUAACUUGAGCGUCGGAGACGUCUAAUUCUCUUUUGCAGGUAUCGCCCUAAAGGCAGGGGGAAUUAUAAAGAAAUGGCAUAGAAC
rnacentral:lncRNA from 1 species